UUUGGAAGCACGUUGAUAGGAAUCUUCCACAAUGGACGCAAGUCUGAUGGAGCAACGCCGCGUGAGUGAAGAAGGCUUUCGGGUCGUAAAACUCUGUUGUUGGAGAAGAAUGGUCGGCAGAGUAACUGUUGUCGGCGUGACGGUAUCCAACCAGAAAGCCACGGCUAACUACGUGCCAGCAGCCGCGGUAAUACGUAGGUGGCAAGCGUUAUCCGGAUUUAUUGGGCGUAAAGCGAGCGCAGGCGGUUUUUUAAGUCUGAUGUGAAAGCCCUCGGCUUAACCGAGGAAGCGCAUCGGAAACUGGGAAACUUGAGUGCAGAAGAGGACAGUGGAACUCCAUGUGUAGCGGUGAAAUGCGUAGAUAUAUGGAAGAACACCAGUGGCGAAGGCGGCUGUCUGGUCUGUAACUGACGCUGAGGCUCGAAAGCAUGGGUAGCGAACAGGAUUAGAUACCCUGGUAGUCCAUGCCGUAAACGAUGAAUGCUAGGUGUUGGAGGGUUUCCGCCCUUCAGUGCCGCAGCUAACGCAUUAAGCAUUCCGCCUGGGGAGUACGACCGCAAGGUUGAAACUCAAAGGAAUUGACGGGGGCCCGCACAAGCGGUGGAGCAUGUGGUUUAAUUCGAAGCAACGCGAAGAACCUUACCAGGUCUUGACAUCUUUUGAUCACCUGAGAGAUCAGGUUUCCCCUUCGGGGGCAAAAUGACAGGUGGUGCAUGGUGUCGUCAAGCUCCGUUCUGG
rnacentral:rRNA from 2 species